rnacentral:rRNA from 1 species
UCUUUCUUUUGCUGGCGACCGGCGCACGGGUGAGUAACACGUAUCCAACCUGCCCUUUACUCGGGAUAGCCUUUCGAAAGAAAGAUUAAUACCCGAUAGUAUAAUGAUUCCGCAUGGUUUCAUUAUUAAAGGAUUCCGGUAAAGGAUGGGGAUGCGUUCCAUUAGGUUGUUGGUGAGGUAACGGCUCACCAAGCCUUCGAUGGAUAGGGGUUCUGAGAGGAAGGUCCCCCACAUUGGAACUGAGACACGGUCCAA